rnacentral:rRNA from 1 species
ACGGCCGCGGUAUUUUGACCGUGCGAAGGUAGCGCAAUCACUUGUCUUUUAAAUGAAGACCUGUAUGAAUGGCACCACGAGGGCUUGACUGUCUCCCUCUCCCAGUCAAUGAAAUUGAUCUCCCCGUGCAGAAGCGGGGAUGAAAACAUAAGACGAGAAGACCCUAUGGAGCUUAAGACGCCAGAACAGCCCACGUUAAACACCCCUAAAUAAAGGAAAAAACCAAGUGGAUCCUGUCCUAAUGUUUUUGGUUGGGGCGACCGCGGGGAAAAACUAAACCCCCAUGUGGAAUAAGGAGUACUAUACUCCUAAAUCCAAGAGCUCCCGCUCUAAUAAACAGAACUUCUGACCAUCAAGAUCCGGCAAUGCCGAUCAACGGACCCGAGUUACCCUAGGGAUAACAGCGCAAUCCUCUUAAAGAGCCCUUAUCGACAAGGGGGUUUACGACCUCGAUGUUGGAUCAGGACAUCCUAAUGGUGC